rnacentral:rRNA from 1 species
UGGGGAAUUUUGGACAAUGGGCGAAAGCCUGAUCCAGCAAUGCCGCGUGUGUGAAGAAGGCCUUCGGGUUGUAAAGCACUUUUGUCCGGAAAGAAAUCCUCUGGGUUAAUACCUCGGGGGGAUGACGGUACCGGAAGAAUAAGCACCGGCUAACUACGUGCCAGCAGCCGCGGUAAUACGUAGGGUGCAAGCGUUAAUCGGAAUUACUGGGCGUAAAGCGUGCGCAGGCGGUUUUGUAAGACGGAUGUGAAAUCCCCGGGCUUAACCUGGGAACUGCAUUCGUGACUGCAAGGCUAGAGUAUGGCAGAGGGGGGUUAGAAUUCCACGUGUAGCAGUGAAAUGCGUAGAGAUGUGGAGGAAUACCGAUGGCGAAGGCAGCCCCCUGGGCCAAUACUGACGCUCAUGCACGAAAGCGUGGGGGAGCAAA